GGCGGAGGAUGCAAGCGUUAUCCGGAAUGAUUGGGCGUAAAGCGUCCGCAGGUGGCAGUUCAAGUCUGCUGUCAAAGACCGGGGCUUAACUUCGGAAAGGCAGUGGAAACUGAACAGCUAGAGUAUGGUAGGGGCAGAGGGAAUUCCUGGUGUAGCGGUGAAAUGCGUAGAUAUCGAGAGGAACACCUGCGGCGAAGGCGGGUUGCUGGGCCGACACUGACGCUGAUGCGCGAAAGCCAGGGGAGCGAACGGG
rnacentral:rRNA from 1 species